UACGGGGGGGGCAAGCGUUGUUCGGAAUUACUGGGCGUAAAGGGCGCGUAGGCGGCCUUCUAAGUCGAACGUGAAAUCCCCGGGCUCAACCCGGGAACUGCGUCCGAUACUGGAAGGCUAGAAUCCGGGAGAGGGAUGCGGAAUUCCAGGUGUAGCGGUGAAAUGCGUAGAUAUCUGGAGGAACACCGGUGGCGAAGGCGGCAUCCUGGACCGGUAUUGACGCUGAGGCGCGAAAGCCAGGGGAGCAAACGGG
rnacentral:rRNA from 1 species